rnacentral:tRNA from 2 species
CGAUUAGCUCAGCGGGAGAGCACUACCUUGACACGGUAGGGGUCACUGGUUCAAUCCCAGUAUCG